UACGUAGGGACCAAGCGUUGUCCGGAAUCAUUGGGCGUAAAGAGCGUGUAGGCGGCUUGUUAAGUCUUGCGUGAAAUCUCGGGGCUCAACCCCGAGCGGUCGUGAGAAACUGGCAGGCUAGAGUGCGGGAGAGGAGAGUGGAAUUCCUGGUGUAGCGGUGAAAUGCGUAGAUAUCAGGAGGAACACCUGUGGUGUAGACAGCUUACUGGACCACUUCUGACGCUGAGACACGAAAGCGUGGGUAGCAAACAGG
rnacentral:rRNA from 1 species